rnacentral:rRNA from 1 species
UACGAAGGGGGCUAGCGUUGUUCGGAAUUACUGGGCGUAAAGCGCACGUAGGCGGAUCGAUCAGUCAGGGGUGAAAUCCCAGAGCUCAACUCUGGAACUGCCUUUGAUACUGUCGAUCUAGAGUAUGGAAGAGGUGAGUGGAAUUCCGAGUGUAGAGGUGAAAUUCGUAGAUAUUCGGAGGAACACCAGUGGCGAAGGCGGCCUACUGGGCCAGUACUGACGCUGAGCCGCGAAAGCCAGGGGAGCGAACGGG